rnacentral:rRNA from 1 species
AGUCGAACGAAAAGUGAUUUAGUUUACUAAUGAUCUUUUAGUGGCGGACGGGUUAGUAACGCGUGAGCAACCUGCCUUAAAGAGGGGGAUAGUCCUGGGAAACUGGGUUUAAUACCGCAUAAGCUCUACGGAGUAAAGUGGCCUUCGGGUCACGCUUUAAGAUGGGCUCGCGUCCUAUCAGCUUGUUGGUGAGGUAAAAGCUCACCAAGGCUACGACGGGUAGUUGGUCUGAGAGGACGAUCAGCAACACUGGAACUGAGACACGGUCCAGACACCUACGGGUGGCAGCAGUCGAGAAUCAUUCACAAUGGACGAAAGUCUGAUGGUGCAACGCCGCGUGUGGGAUGAAGGCCUUAGGGUCGUAAACCACUGUCAUGUGAGAGUAAGGCAUAUUAGUUAAUACCUAGUAUGUUUGAUAGUAUCACAAGAGGAAGGGACGGCUAACUUCGUGCCAGCAGCCGCGGUAAUACGAAGGUCCCGAGCGUUAUUCGGAAUCACUGGGCGUAAAGGGAGCGUAGGCUGUACGGUAAGUCAGAUGUGAAAUCUCAGAGCUCAACUCUGAAACUGCAUCCGAUACUGCCGUACUAGAGUAAUGGAGGGGUAACUGGAAUUCUCGGUGUAGCAGUGAAAUGCGUAGAUAUCGAGAGGAAGACCAACGGCGAAGGCAGGUUACUGGACAUUUACUGACGCUGAGGCUCGAAGGCUAGGGUAGCGAAAGGGAUUAGAUACCCCUGUAGUCCUAGCAGUAAACGAUGUGCGCUUGGUGUGGGAAGGUUCGACCCUUUCCGUGCCGGAGCUAACGCGUUAAGCGCACCGCCUGGGGAGUACGGUCGCAAGACUAAAACUCAAAGAAAUUGACGGGGACCCGCACAAGCGGUGGAGUAUGUGGCUU